rnacentral:rRNA from 1 species
UCCGUAGGGGGCUAGCGUUGUCCGGAAUCAUUGGGCGUAAAGCGCGCGUAGGCGGCCCGGUAAGUCCGCUGUAAAAGUCAAAGGCUCAACCUUUGAAUGUCAGUGGAUACUGCCGGGCUAGAGUCCGGAAGAGGCGAGUGGAACUCCUGGUGUAGCGGUGGAAUGCGCAGAUAUCAGGAAGAACACCGACGGCGAAGGCAGCUCGCUGGGACGGUACUGACGCUGAGGCGCGAAAGCGUGGGGAGCGAACAGG